rnacentral:rRNA from 1 species
UACGUAGGGUGCAAGCGUUGUCCGGAAUUAUUGGGCGUAAAGAGCUCGUAGGCGGUCUGUCGCGUCGGCUGUGAAAUCCCGAGGCUCAACCUCGGGUCUGCAGUCGAUACGGGCAAACUAGAGUAUUGCAGGGGAGACUGGAAUUCCUGGUGUAGCGGUGAAAUGCGCAGAUAUCAGGAGGAACACCGGUGGCGAAGGCGGAUCUCUGGGCCUUACCUGACGCUCAGGUGCGAAAGCUAGGGGAGCGAACAGG